rnacentral:piRNA from 1 species
UGGGUAGAACUUGUUGUUCCUCCUUUUU